rnacentral:rRNA from 1 species
AACAAACGCUGGCGGCGUGCCUAACACAUGCAAGUCGUACGAGAAAGGGUCCUUCGGGGCCUGAGUAAAGUGGCGCACGGGUGAGUAACGCGUGGAUAAUCUGCCCUUCAGUUGGGAAUAACUCAUCGAAAGGUGGGCUAAUACCGCAUAAUGAUGUGAGACCUCGGUUGAUCAGCCAAAGAGAGCCUCUGCUUGCAAGCCCUCGCUGAAGACUGAGUCCGCGUACCAUUAGCGAGUUGGUAGGGUAAUGGCCUACCAAGGCAACGAUGGUUAGCUGGGCUGAGAGGAUGAUAAGCCACACUGGAACUGCGAAACGGUCCAGACUCCUACGGGAGGCAGCAGUGAGGAAUCUUGCGCAAUGGGGGCAACCCUGACGCAGCAACGCCGCGUGAGUGAGGAAGGUCUUCGGAUCGUAAAGCUCUGUCGGAUGGAAAGAACCGCAUAGGGGUAAACAGCCCCUGUGUCUGACGGUACCAUCAAAGGAAGCACCGGCUAACUCCGUGCCAGCAGCCGCCGUAACAC